GACGAACGCUGGCGGCGUGCUUAACACAUGCAAGUCGAACGGUGAAGCGCCUUCCUUUUUGGUGGGUGUGGAUGAGUGGCGAACGGGUGAGUAACACGUGAGUAACCUGCCCCCUUCUUCUGGAUAACCGCAUGAAAGUGUGGCUAAUACGGGAUAUUCUGGGUCUGUCGCAUGAUGGGUCUGGGAAAGAUAUUGUUUCGGUGGGGGAUGGGCUCGCGGCCUAUCAGCUUGUUGGUGGGGUGAUGGCCUACCAAGGCGGUGACGGGUAGCCGGCCUGAGAGGGUGGACGGUCACACUGGGACUGAGGCACGGCCCAGACUCCUACGGGAGGCAGCAGUGGGGAAUAUUGCACAAUGGGCGCAAGCCUGAUUCAGCGACGCCGCGUGAGGGAUGGAGGCCUUCGGGUUGUGAACCUCUUUCGCCAGUGAAGCAGGCCUGCCUCGUUUGUGGGUGGGUUGACGGUAGCUGGAUAAGAAGCGCCGGCUAACUACGUG
rnacentral:rRNA from 1 species